UACGUAGGGGGCAAGCGUUGUCCGGAUUUAUUGGGCGUGAAGCGCUCGCAGGCGGUUCGAUGCGUCGUGCGUGAAAGACCCCGGCUCAACUGGGGGGUGUCGUGCGAUACGGUCGGACUGGAGGCCAGUAGGGGGAUGCGGAAUUCCGGGUGUAGUGGUGGAAUGCGUAGAGAUCCGGAGGAACACCAGCGGCGAAGGCGGCAUCCUGGACUGGUCCUGACACUCAUGAGCGAAAGCGUGGGGAGCGAUCCGG
rnacentral:rRNA from 1 species